rnacentral:lncRNA from 1 species
CGGCAAAGAAGAUAAUUUAUUUAGCAGUCCACCCCACAUAAUGCAAAAUGUAAAGUAAAUGUUUUAGUGGGGAAACGAAAUGUCCUCGGCUUCAUCCAUGUGUGUUGGAGCCAACAAAAGGCUCCAGAGCUGCUCUUGUGCCUUGUCCCACAUAACGCUUUCAUUUUAAGACCAAGCCCCAGUAUUAAAAGUAAACAUCAACACUCUGAGUGAUUCUUGGCCAUAGCAAGGCUCCCCAGCAUCAUUGCAGGAAAGAAAUCUCAACAAGGGCCUCUCAGUUAACUACACAGCCUCCAUCCCAGCAGCCCUGUUCAAGCACAGCCCCUGCAGACGGGGGCACCACAGCUUUUCUCUGUGGCAGAGGAAAGCUAUGGAUUUAUUGUUUCACCAUCAGGAAAUCGCGCUAGUUUGUUGUUGUUGUUGUUGUGUUUUGUUUUGUUUUUGGAGACAGGGUCUUACUGUGUAGUCCUGGCUGUUCUGGAACUCACUCUGUAGACCAGCCUGGCCUCGAACUUACAAAGAUCUGCCGGCCUCUACCUCCCCAGUGCUAGGGAUCAAAGGCAUGUGACACCACCACCCGGCCUGCUCUAGUUGUGAAGGGGAGUAACUAACUAACCGUACAGAUAGCCCGACCACCAGUUCUACUUUCGAAGAGGUGAAAAAUAAUCCCAUUAAAAUACUGUGUUUCGCAUUCUCUGGAUAGCUGAGCUUCCUGACCGACAUUCCUCCCGGAGCUGGGGAGGAAGCUUGACUCAGCUCAGCUCUGCUUGGAGUCCUGAGGAACAGGCUAAAUGCAUGGUGGAUCAGGGCAGCAUUCCGGAGUCAGGGGCCACGGGGCAGGUUCCCCCCAGCUCGGGGUCACAGGACAGAAGGAGAGAGGAAAAGAGUGUGGAAAGUCGGACUGCAACUGACUGCAUGCUGACGUCAUUGUCCAGGCCAGCCGCAGCUGCUCCUUCCUGGAAAGAGGCUCGAAGGCCCCAGGACAAAAAGAUGUGAGGGGGAAUUACUUGAAGUGGGACACAAACAGAAACCAAAGGCAAAGCAAAAACUUUCACAUGCUGCUCAGGGCAAUCUGCUCGUGCAAAAUCGAAUCAGUGAAGCCAAUGCCAUGUCUUUGCUGCCCGCUACAACUUUAAAGUGUAUUUCACAGAGUUUUGUUUUUGGUUUUCCCCC